UUGUAGCAAUACAAGGCAGACGGCUCAGUAACGCGUAGUCAAUCUACCCUAUGGACGGGAAUAACCUCGGGAAACUGAGAAUAAUGCCCGAUAGAACAUUAUGCCUGGAAUGGUUUAUGUUUCAAAUGAUUUAUCGCCAUAGGAUGGGACUGCGGCCUAUCAGUUUGUUGGUGAGGUAAUGGCCCACCAAGACUAUUACAGGUACGGGCUCUGAGAGGAGUGGCCCGGAGAUGGGUACUGAGACACGGACCCAGGCCCUAUGGGGCGCAGCAGGCGAGAAAACUUUGCAAUGUGCGAAAGCACGACAAGGUUAAUCCGAGUGGUUUCUGCUAAAGAAACCUUUUGUCAGUCCUAGAAACACUAACGAAUAAGGGGUGGGCAAGUUCUGGUGUCAGCCGCCGCGGUAAAACCAGCACCUCAAGUGGUCAGGAUGAUUAUUGGGCCUAAAGCAUCCGUAGCUCGUUUUGUAAGUUUUCGGUUAAAUCCAUGCGCUUAACGUAUGGGCUGCCGGGAAUACUGCAUAACUAGGAAGUGGGAGAGGUAGACGGUACUCGGUAGGAAGGGGUAAAAUCCUUUGAUCUAUUGAUGACCACCUGUGGCGAAGGCGGUCUACCAGAACACGUUCGACGGUGAGGGAUGAAAGCUGGGGGAGCAAACCGGAUUAGAUACCCGGGUAGUCCCAGCUGUAAACUAUGCAAACUCAGUGAUGCAUUGGCUUGUGGCCAAUGCAGUGCUGCAGGGAAGCCGUUAAGUUUGCCGCCUGGGAAGUAC
rnacentral:rRNA from 1 species